GACGUAGGGUCCAAGCGUUGUCCGGAUUUACUGGGUGUAAAGAGCGCGUAGGCGGCUCGUUAAGUGUGAAGUGAAAUCUCUAGGGCUCAACCCAGAAACUGCUUUACAUACUGGCGAGCUGGAGUGAUGCAGAGGUUUGUGGAAUUCCUGGUGUAACGGUGAAAUGUGUUGAUAUCAGGAGGAACACCCAUGGCGAAGGCAGCAAACUGGGCAUCAACUGACGCUGAGGCGCGAAAGCUGGGGGAGCGAACGGG
rnacentral:rRNA from 1 species